UCUCUCUGCUGGAACUAAGUACACAUUCAUGCUCUGUUCUGUGUUUGAAAACAUCAGAAGCAGUGGAGUACAACUUAGCGCUGUCACCGCUCCCAAAAACGCAGAGGCUGUGAGAGUAUCAGAACAAAAUGAGACCAGCAUCACUCUGCAGUGGAAUAAAGUCAGCAGCAACACCAGCUUUGUUCUCCAGUUUAAUGGCACAGAGACAAACAUCAGUGCACCAGAUGGAGAUGGACCAGUGAACCAUACAGUCUCAUUUCUCUCUGCUGGAACUAAGUACACAUUCAUGCUCUGUUCUGUGUUUGAAAACAUCAGAAGCAGUGGAGUACAACUUAGCGCUGUCACCGCUCCCAAAAACGCAGAGGCUGUGAGAGUAUCAGAACAAAACGAGACCAGCAUCACUCUGCAGUGGAAUAAAGUCAGCAGCAACACCAGCUUUGUUCUCCAGUUUAAUGGCACAGAGACAAACAUCAGUGCACCAGAUGGAGAUGGACCGGUGAACCAUAC